rnacentral:rRNA from 1 species
AGUGAACGCUGGCGGUAGGCCUAACACAUGCAAGUCGAACGGCAGCACACUAAGAGCUUGCUCUUACGGGUGGCGAGUGGCGGACGGGUCAGGUAUACAUCGGAAUCUACUUUUUCGUGGGGGAUCACGUAGGGAAACUUACGCUCAUACCGCAUACGACCUACGGGUGAAAGCAGGGGAUCUUCUGACCUUGCGCGAUUGAAUGAGCCGCUGACGGAGUGGUUAGUUGGCGGGGUAAAGGCCCACCAAGGCGACGAUCCGUAGCUGGUCUGAGAGGAUGGUCGGCCACACGGGAACUGAGACACGGUCCAGACUCCUACGGGAGGCAGCAGUGUGGAAUAGUGGACAAUGGGCGCAAGCCUGAUCCAGCCAUACCGCGUGUGUGAAGAAGGCCUUCGGGUUGUAAAGCCCUUUUGUUGGGAAAGAAAAGCAGCAGGUUAAUACCCCGCUGUUCUGACGGUACCCAAAGAAGAAGCACCGGCUAACUUCGUG